rnacentral:rRNA from 1 species
UUAGCGGCGGACGGGUGAGUAACACGUAGGCAACCUGCCUGUACGACUGGGAUAACUCCGGGAAACCGGAGCUAAUACCGGAUAGGAUGUCAGACCGCAUGGUCUGACAUGGAAAGGUCUUGUAACCACGUACAGAUGGGCCUGCGGCGCAUUAGCUAGUUGGUGGGGUAACGGCCUACCAAGGCGACGAUGCGUAGCCGACCUGAGAGGGUGAUCGGCCACACUGGGACUGAGACACGGCCCAGACUCCUACGGGAGGCAGCAGUAGGGAAUCUUCCGCAAUGGACGAAAGUCUGACGGAGCAACGCCGCGUGAACGAUGAAGGUUUUCGGAUCGUAAAGUUCUGUUGUUAGGGAAGAACCGCCGGGAUGACCUCCCGGUCUGACGGUACCUAACGAGAAAGCCCCGGCUAACUACGUGCCAGCAGCCGCGGUAAUACGUAGGGGGCAAGCGUUGUCCGGAAUUAUUGGGCGUAAAGCGCGCGCAGGCGGCUUCUUAAGUCAGGUGUGAAAGCCCACGGCUCAACCGUGGAGGGCCACUUGAAACUGGGAAGCUUGAGUGCAGGAGAGGAGAGCGGAAUUCCACGUGUAGCGGUGAAAUGCGUAGAGAUGUGGAGGAACACCCGUGGCGAAGGCGGCUCUCUGGCCUGUAACUGACGCUGAGGCGCGAAAGCGUGGGGAGCGAACAGGAUUAGAUACCCUGGUAGUCCACGCCGUAAACGAUGAGUGCUAGGUGUUGGGGACUCCAAUCCUCAGUGCCGCAGCUAACGCAAUAAGCACUCCGCCUGGGGAGUACGGCCGCAAGGCUGAAACUCAAAGGAAUUGACGGGGACC